rnacentral:RNase_P_RNA from 2 species
CGAGUAAGUCAGAUGGUCGCGUUGCCAAUAUUGGCAAUGAGGAAAGUCCGAGCUCCAUAGGGCAGGGUGCUGGGUAAUACCCAGUGGAGGCGACUCUAAGGAAAGUGCAACAGAAAUAUACCGCCUAUAUAGAAGUUGGAGGAUGGAUGCUAGAGGUUAGAUUUAAUCUCUAACGUCCAACUGCUAACCUCUAUUUGGGUAAGGGUGGAAAGGUGAGGUAAGAGCUCACCAGAGGCUAGGCGACUAGUCUGCUCUGUAAACCCCAUCUGGAGCAAGACCAAGUAGGGACUAAAAAAGGUGGCUGCCCGUUGCCGUCCCGGAGGUAGGUCGCAUGAGUCUACUGGCGACAGUAGACCUAGAUAGAUGACUAUCUAAUACAGAACUCGGCUUAUAGACUUGCUCGUUUA